AAUGAAGAACGUAGCGAAAUGCGAUACGUAAUGUGAAUUGCAGAAUUCAGUGAAUCAUCGAAUCUUUGAACGCACAUUGCGCCUGCCAGCACUCUGGCAGGCAUGCCUGUUCGAGCGUCAUUUCAACCAUCAAGCCCUAGGCUUGCGUUGGAGCCCUGCGGCUGCCGCAGGCCCCUAAAAGCAGUGGCGGGCUCGCUAUCACACCGAGUGCAGUAGAUUACUCUUCGCUCAGGGCGUGUGGCGGGUUCCAGCCGUGAAACCCCCUACUUCUCAAGGUUGACCUCGGAUCAGGUAGGAAUACCCGCUGAACUUAAGCAUAUCAAUAAGCGGAGGA
rnacentral:misc_RNA from 1 species